rnacentral:lncRNA from 1 species
GAAAUAUCAAACUUUAUUAAUUCGUCUAAUUCCAGCAUAGAACUGUCCAAUUUAGAAAAGAUAGACAACGUGAAAAAAAAAAUAAAAAAAUUAUUUUGCAGAAAUUAUUCUCUGUGGAUUAUAUGCAUUCAGACCGCAACUUGCGAAUAAUAUUCAAAGAUUUUAUGAACUCAUAUUCCCAAAUCAGCCGCUCCGACAUCAUCCCAUCAACAUUAUCCAAAGACAAAGAAGAAGAAGAAGACAACAUCAACCAAGAGUUCGAAAUCUACCACUUAGAGCUAGAAACCAGCCAGACCGCCUUAUGUAUUAUUAAAAUUAUUAUUUCACUAUACCUUUAUUAUACAUGUUCCUGAUCACCUCCCUCCUCCUCAAUCUUCACUUUCAAGC